GGUGAGAUGGCCGAGUUGGUUAUGGCGCCAGGUUAAGGUUUUCUGCAUUCGGUUAGCAUCGUCUACAGUUCUUAACGUAUUUCCUGGUCACGAAAGUGGCGUGGGUUCAAGUCCCACUCUCAUCA